rnacentral:lncRNA from 1 species
UGUUUGCUCGUUUCCCGUGGAUGUGCGGUUCUUCCGUGGUUUCUCUCCAUCUAAGGGGCUUUGGGGGAACAUUUUUAGUUCCCCUACCACCAUGCCUUAUGGCUUAUUUAAGAAAACAUAUCAAAAUUCCACAAGAUUUUUGACGUUUUGAUAUGCUCUGGUAAGGCUUUUUUUUUUUUUUUUUUUGAUAUGUCCUCCAUACUUUUUGAUAUUUGUAAUAUUUUCAGUCAAUUUUUCAUUUUUAAGGAAUAUUUCUUUGUUGUGCCUUUUGGUUGACAACUCUGUGUGUAUGGUGGACUUACCUUUCUUUUAUUGUUUAUAUAUUCUUGCCCAUCGGGGCCACGGAUACCUGUGUGUCCUCCCCGCCAUUCCAUGCCCAACGGGGCUUUGGAUACUUACCUGCCUUUUAUUUCUUUUUUUCUUCUUAUUUUUUCCCUAAACUUGCCCAUCUGGGCUGUGGAUACCUGCUUUUAUUCUUUUUUUCUUCUCUUUAGCCCAUCGGGGCCAUGGAUACCUGCUUUUUGUCCAAAAAACCCCCUUCUUUCUUGGUCCAUCGGGACCUCGGAUACCUGCGUUUAGUCUUUUUUUUCCCAUGCCCAACGGGGCCUCGGAUACCUGCUGUUAUUAUUUUUUUUUCUUUUUCUUUUGCCCAUCGGGGCUGUGGAUACCUGCUUUAAAUUUUUUUUUUCACGGCCCAACGGGGCGCUUGGUGGAUGGAAAUAUGGUUUUGUGAGUUAUUGCACUGCCUGGAAUAUCUAUGCCUCUUAUUUGCGUGUACUGUUGCUGCUGAUCGUUUGGUGUUGUGUGAGUGAACCUAUGGCUUAGAAAAACGACUUUGCUCUUAAGCUGAGUGGGUGUUCAGGGCGUGGAGAGCCCGCGUCCGCCAUUACGGAUUCUGCGUGAUACGGCUAUUCUCGAGCCAGUUACGCCAAGAAUUAGGACGCCGUGGAGCACAGAGGACUGGAUAGAAGCAACCAAGUGCGCUGUGCUAGCUAAAGGCUUUCUUUAUAUGUGUGGGGUUGUGGGAUUCAGCUUGAUUUGUGGUAGGAUUUGCGGGGUUGUGCUAGCCGGAUGUAGAAAGCCAAGGAGCGCUUGUAUGCGUGUGCGGUGUUGCGCGAAAGCCGCAGAGGACUAGGGAAUAGGGCUCAGCGUGGGUGUGGGGAUAGCUCAGGGUAUGUGUGCAUAGGGACCCCUAGCGGGGUCCCCCUUGGCUGUAAGGGCUGCUUAGAAGUCUGUAAAAUGGCGGCUCGGGGGCUCCACCCGAGGCUCGACAGCCCAACCUUUGUUCUGGCGUGUAGCAAUGGAUAUAGGACAUUUAGGUCGUACAGGAAAAGAUGGCGGCUUAAGUUCUUGCUGCGGUAUAACGCAAAGGGCUUUGUGUUUCACAUGUCAGCUUCAUGUCUGAGUUAGCCUGGAGAGGUGGCACAUGCUCUUGAGUGUGUCUAAGAUGGCGGAAGUCAUGUGACCUGCCCUCUAGUGGUUUCUUUCAGUGAAUUUUUGGCGGGCUUUAGCUACUUGGCGGGCUUUGCCCGAGGGUACACUUGGUGCAUUAUGGUAGGGCGUGGUUGGUCCAACCUUGUGCCACUCGAAGCUGAGGCAAGACUAGGUGGAAGUGUUGGUUGCCACUUGACGUACCUCGUCAGAAAUGGGCACAAGUGUGAAAGUGUUGGUGUUUGCUUGAUUUAACCAGUUAGAAAUGUGCAUUAUUGCUUGGUGGCCAGGGUGGAAUUAGACUGUGAUGACUCACUGUCCCGUAAGGACGUGAGUUCGCUUGGUACUUCACGUGUGUCUUUAGUCAUCGUUUUUUCGAAGUGCCUGCCCGGGUCGGGAGAGCGCAUGCUUGCAAUUCUAACAUUGAAGUGUUGAAUGACGUCUGAUCCGAUUCGAGAUUCGAGAGACCGAGGCUGCAGGUUCCUGAGGUCGAUGUGAAUCAUUGAAACCUCACCUAUUAAAAGAAAGAAAAAUAUCUAAAGCCAUUUCAAGGACAUUUUUGACCCAUCCGCUUGCGUUCAUAGUCUCUUACAGUGCUCUAUACAUGGCGGUGCAAAUUAAGUCUCAGCCCGUUCCUUUGUAUUGUUCAGUGGCCUAAGACUAGUCUAUUUACUCCUUGGUCUCUGAUUUAGCCAGCACUGUGAUCUCAAGCGGUUCUCUAAGCCCACUGUGGGUAUAAUCGUGACUUUGGCCAGAGUCAUAGUGGAUCACAAAUCACUGGUCAAGAGGUAGAACCCUACCUUCUUCCAGAAUCUACCCCAUGACUACUGCUGGGGUUGGAUUUUUAUUUCAAUGAAUAUUAUGGGUGCCAAAGACAAGUCUGAUAGUGUGCUUUGCUAGUGUUUGAAUUUAAAACUGAAGUGAUUGUUUUAAAAAUGUAGUUAGGAGCUUUGCUUACGUGUAGAAUUCAUCUUAAUUACCUUUAGCAAAUUGUUACUUUGGAGUCCUUAAAGUUUUCAAUAAUUUUUUUGGCAGAUGCUACUCAAAUUACUUGGCACUUAAAUGUACUUUUUUUCAAACUCAUCUACUGAACUACUCUUAAUUUUUGAGUCUUAAUGACACAGAUACUCUUAAUGUAAAGUUAACAUCAUGACUGGAUAUCAGGAGCAUUUGAGGCUCUAUGCUAAUGGCUUUACUUGUCAGCAAGAGCCUUCAAUAUUACUAUUAUAACAGUAAGUCUGAUAGAGGACGCAGAGCACUAAUAGUAAUAUUAAGGCCUACAUUUGCAACUUUCCGUGUUUUCUUGCCUUUAUGGCAUCUAGAUUCUCCUCAGACUCAGCAAAUACUGCUGCUGCUGUUAUUGCUGCCCCAGCCCCUGCCCCUGCCCCUGCCUGCCCCACCCAACCAACCCAGUUCAGCCCAGCCGUGCCCCAGCCCAAUCCUAGCCCCAGGCCCAGAUUCUUUCAGACCUAUCCCUAGCCCACUUCUGCCUAGAGAAAUUCCAAUCUUCAUUGAUUGAGAUAGAAUUUCACUUAAUGUAUAGAGUCCUAUUGCUAAAAUGCAGUGCCCAUAACUCAGCCUGUUAAGACUGAGAUAUCCCUAUGUAUACCCCGUACCCACUCCAUACUGACUUCCAGAGUCAUGGAAUUUCACAGAAUUUCACUUAAUGCAUAAAGUCCUAUUGCUAAAAUGCAGUGGCCAUAACUCAGCCUGUAAGGCUGAGAUAGCCCUAUGUAUACCCCAUAUCCCCUCCAUGCUGACUUCAAGAGUCAUGGAAUUUCACUUUGCAUACACUCCUGCUUUACUUGUCCAUGGACAGGUAAACAAAAAACUCUUGUCCUUCAUGUUAAUCAAGGUACACCAAUCAAACAAGAGUUUUAUAUCAGAGUCUUGCCAUGGAGGUAUCAUCUCUCAAGCCUCCUUUCCUUUAAGGAAAGAAAACCACUCUGUCAUUGCUGCAGUAGUCAUAGUCCCACGUUUCUAAGCAGUGUUCAGUCGUCUUUUCUCAUAUAUUGCCUUGAGUACUGAAUAAUUCUGUCAGAAAUUUUUUAUCCAUUGGAUUAGACCCUAGCUAUUCCAGCCCCGUGUGCAUUUAGCAAAGGAGCAAACACAAGUCUGUUAUCAGACAGUUAAGGUGCUCAGUCCCAAUUCUCAAGGCAUUGGCCAUUAAAGGGGGUAGAGUACUAUAUACUGUUUGCAUGCUGUCACGGGGGCUAUCGCCCCAGGUCAUAUCUUUCUAACUGAUGGAGAUACAUUUAUUUGUUCAUGAUAUUGUGUACUAGUCUCAUGCUCCCCUUAUUUCAGCCAAAAACCUCUGCACUGGGAUAUUUUAUGUGGAUAAUCCUGACUAGGAAUUGAAUCUUUUCUGAAGGUCAUAAUACUACCUUUGCUUUAUGUAAAGAGGGUGCUGAUUAAUUACUUAAUGCCUCUUAUACAAUUAUGCAAAAUUGCAGUUGUUCAAGUCCCCUUCUGUUAGUAACCAAGAUCCCAUACCCUCAUACCCUAAUGGGUGACAAUAAAGGAUGCCAACCAAUAAGACCACUUCUGUUCUGGUCUUUCUGCUGUGCUGGGGAAUCAAACCUAGAGUCUUGUGCACGCUAGUAAAGCACUCUGUCAUAGAGCUACAGCCCCACCAUGUGGUGGUUUGAGAGAACCGCCUCUUAUGUAGCCUUGGCUGGGCAGGCACUCAAUCUUUGUCCCAGUUAUGGGGAUUACAGGCAUUGCCACCUGUAAUGUAAACAUAUUUGUGCCUGUUUUUGUGUGCACAGCUGCAUUUGUCCCUCUUCCUAAGCACUGGAUAAAGAAACCAAACUAAAUCAAGUCAUUUCAUUGGUAACCAAGAAGACCUUUGAACUCAGAUUCAAUCUGUUCUGUUUUUUAAUUUCCAGGCUGGCCUGGAACUUAGUAUAUAGCCCAGGCUAGCCUUGAGCUCAGGAUCUAAGAAGUUUAAGAAGUGUUGGCAUAUCUGGUUUCUACCACUGUACCCUGCAGUCUCUCACGGUGAACGUGCAUAUGUCAUUUCACUGUAGUAAUAUGUAUCUGGUAAAGACCUUACCUUAUUUGCAUUGCAGUAUUUAAGAGCCUUAACAUAGUAAAUGUGCACAGUGUUAACUGUCUUGUUCAUAUCCUCAUGUCCACAGUUGUGCCUUUUAGAUCAGGACUCCUGUCCUUAGCAAAGCAAAGAGGCUCACUAAUAUAAAUAAAGCCUCUUUCAUGGGACUAUAGAUUGAAACAAUUCCAAUAUGGUCAAUGGUCCUUCAAGGUAAGACUUCUGUCCCUGAUCAUGCAGAUCCUCUUUGCUAUGUAUGUGCUGUUCACUUGAAACUCCUUUCUCAAACUAUUUAUGUACAUACUGGCAAUUUUAGUAGGAUCAAUUUUACUCUUAACUUUGAAGUACCGAAGUGGUGUUGACCUAUAAGGUCCCAUUUUGUGGCUUGCUAAUAAUGACUGAUUGGAGUAGUCCUUUUCUCUUCACUACAGAAGGAAAUCUGAACAGCAUAAAACUGUAAUGGCCACAAGCAUGUACCUUGCAUAUUAGUGUGCAUUUACUGCACGCGUCUCAUUCCAUUUGGAUAUGAUCCUACUCUCAAACCCUUUUGCAGUACAGCAAGGGUUCACUAAUCUUUUGGCUUCAUCUUCCUGGACACUGGAUAAGGAUAUCCCCUCCUUUCCACUCUUUAAUUUCCAGGACUAUUACUUUAAAGACUUAAUAUUUGCAUAAAAGAUGGGGUUUUAAUUGACCAGAUGUCCCUUGAACAUUAAUGUACAUAACAGGGACGUGAUCCAUUCAUUUUAAUAAAAAUACUUGGCCAGUUAAUGUAAAAUUACAAUUAUCCACAACCUUAUUACUUUUCGGACCAUUGUAUCUCUUUUGCACUACAGCAAGGGAUACUGUUUAUAUCCCCAAGGUCCCUCCUAGUGGACCAUUAAUAUACAGUGAAUUUUCCUUUGUCUUUGCCAGUAAACAAAGGUCAUGCUCCUCCUUUCAUUUGCAGUAUAUCAGGAUAUGCUGAUCAACAAGGCUGCAUUCUUUUGGACUGUUAUAUAUUAAAAGUAUGCAUAUGCAUUGCCUCCUGCUCUGUGCACUAGAAAAGGAUCCCACUUACUUCCUUCAGCAGGAAGUGAUAAUAAGCUCAAGACUUUCAUUUGGAAAGUUCACAUGAACAAUAUCUAAGCACUUCUAUAAGAACUAUUGUACCCUCUUCCCCGCUUUAAAGCAGAAAGAGGGUUUUACGAAGUGCUCUUCUUUUGGACUUAAGUGCAUUACCUUUGGAGUCGGAUUUUACAUCCUUGUACUCCUUUGACACCAGAGGCACGUUAAUUAUUUCUGAGCACUUCUCUUGUCAAUAUUAAUCUGUACCCUUACACAUAUGACCUGUACGGCAGAAAAGGUUCUGAAAUACCUACCUUUUGACUGGGGCUGCUGAGCAGUAGUAACUAUUAAUAACCUCAGCAUUUGGAUGAUUACUGUGCAAAAAUGUCAAGGACCUGUGUGCUCUCUUUGCAUACCAUCAAGGCUACUGAGUCCCAGAAUUGCUAGUAUGCAUAUUUAUAACUAUGAAUGUCUGGAAUAUUAUGUCCUCAUAACCCCUCUUUACAUUAUUGCAGAGGUUGCUCAGUUACCUAAAAUACUCAGCACUGUCAGUGAGCACAGGGACUCUGACGAAUGACUUGCUUUCUUCCUUAAACUUAUUUUGGGGCUAUUAAUAGGCACAAUGGCAGUUCUGGAUGGCUUAUUUUCUACUCCCAACUUGAGAAAAUCCCCUCUUCUUGUUUCCCAAUGAUAUAAUAAAGUACAGCAGUAUGUACACCCAACAAUGACCCAUAUUUUCUACCCUUUUUGCAUUGCUUUAGUAUAUAAAAUCCUAAAUUGUCACAAUCUCACACUUUGUACUGUGUUCCUUUUGCCCAGCCCCUAGUUUGUCCAUUGACCACUCUUCUGAAUCACUAAUUCUCACAAACCCAUCAUUAAGGAAGAGUUUGUGCCCUUUCCCGAUUCCAUCACUCCAUCCCUUUUAAGCCUCUUUGAACAGUAUUGAUUGGGCAAAGCCCUUCUCUUGACUUAAAGUCGACAACACCAGUUUACUCACUUCAUAUGGCUACAGUGUCUCAGUUGCCUUCUCCUUGGUCCCAGUGAACAGAGACACCUCGACUUCUUGCAUUAUUCUGGUAAUAUUAAUUACCCCAAACACCCUAUGUGUCGUUAAUAACUUUUGGUGUAUUUAUACACUGACUAGCAAAAGCAGGCCAAAACUAGGUGGAUGAGCCUUCAAUCUUUAACUUGCAUUUCUAAAUUACUCUAAUUCUAACUCCUGGCACAUUCUAGGUCCAGGAACCAUUCUUGCCUACCUUUAUUAAUGCUUUAUUGUGCAAAAUAGUGUAGGCAAGUAGCUUAGGGAGUUGGAUUGCCACCUUUUAUUUGGGGCUUUCCUUUACAGUAUGAACUGAAAAUUGUCUUCCUGAGAAGGAAGCUUAGCACUUUUCUUCCUCCAGGAGCCAACUGUCUGCUUAAGAAACUUUAAACCUGAUUUUGUAUAUUGCUACUGUACAGGACCAACUGCCAGAAAAGUUAUUGAUAAUUUUAUUCCUUAAGAAAGGCAUUUGGAUUGCAAGGUGGAUUGAUUGUGAGAUUAGCUUUUGUGAAGUAAAAAUAGCCAUUUGCGCAUUGUUUCUGAUGACUAAGCAGUGUCUCUGUACUGAGGGUGGUGAGUCUGUGGAAAGAUCACUGCAACUGUUGCAGAAUGUUUAAGACAAGUAUCUUUGCUUGGUCCUUACUACAAGUUUAACAAAAUGAAAAUCAAUCUUUGUGUGGCCUUUAGUAUGAUUAACUUUAAGGAAGACGAACUAAACCUUCUAAUCUUUAUAUUUUGUCUGACGUAAUAAUCACCAGCCCCUGCUUAUUUUUAAAAGGUGGCUGUGGACAGAUUAAAUUCGAGAUCGUCAAGUCGCCUUUGAAAAUUAUAGGCCAUCACAUUUAAUUAAUUCAUUCUGUCCAUCAUUAAAUUCUGGCAGUAAUUUGAGGUAGCUUGAAAAGAACCACCCUAAAGUGGGAAUUUAUUUUAGAGAUGAUGGAACCUGUUUCCCCACUUUACAUUUUAAAAUAUGUAUGCCAGGACCUAAUCAUUCCUUUAAAUGUACACUUCAAAGGGAGAUCUGCCUAGUAAGAAAAGAGCUUUCUCUAGUGUGAAGGGUGCUUUGUGGCCGCCGAGUACUUAGUCUUUUUUGGGAAGCUGUUGUGUAUGAGUGUGUGUAUGUGUGUGCAUGCAUGUCCCUGCGCGUAUUCAUUCGUUCACAUGGUGAUCAGACAACAAUGGAAGCUGCUUCAUCUAUCUUGUGGGUCCUGGAGAUUAAACUCAGAUCAUCAGGCUUGGCAGCAAGUGCCCUUACCCUCCGUGCCAUCUUGCCAUCCCGCUGCUGAGUGUUUGAUAUGACAUUGCUGAUGAAAAUAGUAAUCACAAGAGCAGUUCUCCGGCAUUACUGAAAAAAAAAAAAGAUACUAUUUUUCUGAGAAGGAUGUUCAAGGAACUCAUCCAGUGCAGGAUCCAGGUUGAACUACUGCUCCUCAGUUCCAUCAGACUCUGGCUGUUUAGACUACAGGAUGAAUUUGGAGUCUGUUUUGUGCCCCUGCCUCAAGAAGAAGGAUUGCCUGUAUUUAGAGGAGUGAAGAGUGCUGGAGAGAGCCCAAAGGGACAAUCCCUACGCGAGACUCAAGGACUGCCAGCAGCCGAUACAGCUAUAUUACAUCUCAGCAGAUCUUCUCUUCAAGUCCUCGCUACUCUGAACAAAAAGGUUACAGGCCACAUGGAGAAAAAAAAGAUCUCCCCCCGAGAAGUAUGGGCUUGUUGCUUUGCAGUGCUGGUGACCUAUUCCCUUUGACGAUCCCUAGGUGGAGAUGGGGCAUGAGGAUCCUCCAGGGGAAUGGCUCACCACCACUAGGCAACAGGCCUAGCCCAGAUUUCAAUGAGACACUUUCUCGAAUCCAGCAAGAUAGACAAAGGCUCAAAGAAUGCCACCCUACAUCAAAAUAGGAGAAAAGCUGCUACAAUAGUGGCACUGACCUUCUGAGGAAGCCAUUCUGCUCUAUUUGGUUCUCUCCCCAGAAUCUAGGAGAACUUUGCCAGCUAUUUACAUACUUCAAGAUGUACUGUGCUACCCUACUCAUGCCAUAUAUAAGACACAAUGUCAUCUACCAAACAUUACCCUUCCCCAAAGCAGCACAGAAAACUGGGUCUUCAGCACGAUCAAGAAAUGUGAACACACAGAAGGAAGGAAGCUUUAUAUACGACCCGAAGAUCCACAUGCCUGACUGCAGCAUCUUAAAAGCAAUAGAAUGAGUGUGUAUUGUGUUGUGUGCCUAUUUCUUGUUUUAUGUAUCUAUUUCUAACUUGCUUUGUGAGUCUACUUCUUCCUUGUGUUGUGUCUAAUUCUUUGUUACAUCUAUUUCUUCCUUGCUUUGUGUGUCUAUUUCUUCCUUCCUUUGCAUGCCUAUUUCUUCCUUGUGUUGUGUCUAAUUCUUUGUUACAUCUAUUNNNNNNNNNNNUUGCUUUGUGUGUCUAUUUCUUCCUUGUUAUAUGUAUUUACUUCUUUGUGUGUCUAAUUCUUUGUUACAUCUAUUCCUUCCUUCCUUUGCAUGGCUUCCUUCCUCUGUGUGUCUUUUCUGUCCUGCAGUGUGUCUUACCUAUUCCCAUGUUUCUCUUGCAUGUUCUUUCUUGCAGAGCUUUGAGCUUUGUUUCACUUUCUCUGGUGCCUGUGUGAUCUGCCUUGUCUUGACUAGCUAUGGCUCUCUGUUUUAUCUAUCUGGUUGCUAUUUCUCUUAGCUCUUCUUUCACUCCUGCCUUUCAUGACUCGCCUUUGGGUCACAUGUUGUAUACGUCCCUCUCUCUUUCUUGUGCUCACCCCACUUGUUCUUUGUUCGAGUUCUCUUUGUCAGCCCAUUUCAGUCUUCUUUCUGCUGUUUCUAUCCUUAGUGAGUUCUUGUUUACAUUUCUUUCCUGCCUUUCUUGGGCCACUUUCUGUUUUCUUUUGUAUUUGUGUAUCUUUGCUUUUGGUGAUUUAUCUCAGCACCAUUCUGUUGCUUGUGUUUCUACUUCCUCCCUUCUGCUCACUUUGAGCAUCUCAGUCUCUUUACAAGUCUGUGUCUCUCUUGUAUUCUAAAGUAAUUCUUUCCUGGAUAUUUCUUUGUAUGUACAUGUGUAUGUGUGUGUGUGUGUGUGUGUGUCAUGUGUGACAGGGGCUUCAUAGCCCCUUCCCAAUAGGUCCAGAAUGUCACCUGUGGAGCCAUUCCUCACACCAGACUGCCCUGAGAAAUAAUCUAAGACAAAAUACAUCAUUCCAUCCGGUCAGGAUUCAAGUGGAUCUGAAGUGAACGCCCAAGUAGAAGACAAAAGUUAAAAGGACCAAAAUACACAGAUGGCCCGUCUUGAGCUGGCUGGACAGAAUGCUGACAACCCAAAGAAGAGGGACUGUUUCUAUAGGACACCUUGUGACAUCUAAGAACGGAGGAGAACUAUGUACGUCAUAGGACACAAAACCUGAGCUAAGUCCAAACAUAAGACCCAAGGACUCAAUCCUAUAUGGACAGAAUGUUUAAGAGAUAAAGGCCGAUGGCCCAGAACUCUGGAAGGAUAGAAACCCCAAGACCAAGAAGGGAAAUUCGAAGAUGAGACCUGUCCCCCAACCACAGCAUUCAUUUCCAUUUCUUAUAUUUCUAUUUAAGCUGUCUUCGCUUGAGAUGUAAUUUUCAUUGUUGCCAUUCCCCAUAAAGGAAUACAUUUUUAGCUGGAUAGUAUUGUGCAAGGGUCUGUUUUAAACUGGAUCUUAGCCAUUUGUUAAAUUGUUUUUGUUUUACAACUUCCAUUUCUCUUCACAUCUGCUCUACUUGAGACAGAACAAAAUCCAGCCAGUGUAUAUAGCCUGACUUUUGAAACUCCCCUAGGAACAAGCAUGCAUACAGAUACUGUAUUGUCAUCCUCCCUAUCUCAGAAGCCCUGAGCUGACAAGAAAAGGAAAGCAUCAGGUUGUUAGGGGAAAACAAUGUCAGGCUAUCUAGAGAAAAUAUGAGGAGUUGUUCCAGACCAAUGAGAAGAAUUAGACAAGCAAUAAUAUGCAGAUGUGCCAACCCUCCGAGAAGCACCAGCCAGCGGCACCUUCCUUCUUUGGGCUUAGGUGAGAGGGGUAUGGACUUUCUAAUAAUGGUUUGGGGACAAAAUGAGAUCUGAACUCCCUGCUCAUAGUAGUGGCCGAGUAACUUGGUGCAUUUCACCAAAGGAACUCCUGGGUUUAAAAUACCCACCUUUAAGAUUAAUGAUGAAAGUCUCUGAGGACUACUUAAUGGGCUUAAUCUUAUUCGUGCCUUCCUCUUCCUCUGUAAGAGGGAAGUUAAAUGACACACGAUGAAAAAGUAACAUGUUCAUAGCACAUUGGCAAUCAUGCAUAGUUAGUAUCUGAAAGUGUAGAGCUUUUCCUAUAAGGCAUCAGCCUGUAAGUACCUGAAGAUUUGUGGGCCCACCAUGGUCUCAGUUACAUAUUCCUUUUUUUUUUUUUUUUUUUUUAAAAAAAAAAAAAAAAAACCUUUUCAAAAGGUAAGAAAAAGGCACACUGGUCCAUUGAUCAAGCCCUGAUAUAAAUGCCAGGGAAUAUGUCUGAGUAACAUUAAUUUCCUUCCCUGCAUAUUUUUUUUGUGCUAAGUACUAAGGAAGUGAUGCUUAACUGUGGUCACUCCCCGGUAACAAGAUAUUGCCAGGUAACCAAGAAAUGUAUGAAUAUGUAAACCAUGAAGCACACUGUAACUUCCAAGUCAGUGCUGAGUAUGUAUUACAGAGUAGCUGAAUUCUACGCUUCUAUGUGCUAUAGGCACAAAGAUUGCUCUAGGAAUAACAAGUAAAAACACAUAUAUGAACUGGGCUUGACUGAAAAAACAAUCCAUAUACUUAAGGCCAGUGUGUUUCUUCUACUGCUUUGGCGAGGCUCAGUAAGUUAUAGUAUACCAGGUAGCAGAAGAGAAAACACAUGGAAACUGAUUUUAAACUACAAAAUAGGCCACAAAUUCAGGUGAUUGAUUACCCUAUUCUGAUCACCUUCUAGUUUCUGAACUGCUGUACCCAUGUUCAGCACUGGGAAUAACAAAGGGGGGACAUUACCAUAGAACUAGAAUUUACGAAAUAAUGCAUUAAAUAAAGCAUUAUACAGUUACCAGUUGUUCCAUGUGUGCAAAUGAAUGAAUACUACCUCUGAUGUAUCCGAUAUUGUUUUGGGUACAUGAAAUAUUCAUGACUAACUGCCAUGAACUAAGGAUGUUUGCAUUCCAUACUAUUCAUUCACAAGGAAUGAGAUAAUGCUUAAUUUAACCAGUCAAAACUUGAGUGAUAAGGGCAUGAUAAUACAUUAUGGUUGUGUGUACUUUCUUAACUAUAAAGUGGUUCAGUAGUGUAAGACAAAUUUUUUAUAGAAAUAAAGCUGCCUAUAAAACAGGCAUGGUCUCUACAAAAUAUUCAUUGUACUUUUUGGCCCACAAUGGGAAGGUACAGUUAACAAGCUGGGUGUGGUAGCAUGUGCUCUGAGCUCAGGUAGCUGAAGUGUCAGGACCACUUGAGCCCAGAAAUUUGAGGCCAGCCUGGGAAGACAACGAGGUCAAUCUCAAACCUAGAGGCUAAAUAUUGUCUACCAUAUGUAUAUUCUCUUUCAUGGGUACCGGAGAGAUACACAGACUUACAUUUCAUUGUGUCCACACUUGAGAAUAAUAUGUACAUUGGCGUUUUAUGACCUCAGAGGAACCAUAUAAAUGUUAACAAUUCAUUUUCUUUCUUGGUAUCAAUUUCCAGGCUUUUAAAAUUCUGCCACAUUUAUUAUACUGUGAAAAUAAAGUAAAUAAGUAACUGUGGACCACUGAAUAUAUGAAGCAUUCAGCGCUAGCACUUGAUGAGUACCAUACUGAAUGGCAAUCAUUUAUUGCAAAACAGUGCCCUUGCAAAACAGUGCCCUUGCUAGGCACUGGGAUGCAAAGGGCAUUCUUAAUGUCCUGUGUACAUAAAGAAAUUAUGCAUGAGAUUAAUUUAUAAUUUGUAAACUGCCAUAAAUAUAUAUAUGCAAUAUUUGCCUGGUGUGCAAUGACUAUUUGCUUUUAUCCCAGAGAUCUGUGUGGAGCUUUGUGAAGUCCACAGUCCUAUAAAGCCAGGACCUAACUGUUGGCUUUAUCAGGGACCAGUGAUUAGUUUCUAAGUUUCAUAAUGGCUGAAACUUAAAUCAGAAUGCUUAUCACCUAACACUACCUAAUAAUAAUUUUACUGUGCUAUGUGUUGAGCAAACAAAGAUUGCUUUCUAGCAUUAUGUAGUAUUCACAGUAGUGAGAUCUAGACCAAAACUUCAAUUCACUUUAACGAGGAAAUGAAAACAGAAGAAAUGGAUUUGUGAGGCAGUAUGCUAAAUGUUACGCUAACUGGACUAUGCUGUCUAGGAUACUUCCCAGUUGGCUUGACUGAGGAGGUGGAAAAGGUUUUAUCACUGAGAGGUACUUUUCCCAACCAUUUUCUUAAAUGUUGAAUGCUGCUGCCGGAGAUGAAUUACAAGCACCUUGCCAGUAAAGGUGUGACAAUAUAGGGCCAGAGCAUCUGAUGCUAUGUACUCAGUGUGGUCCAGAACCUCUCAAACUAGAUGUAUUGGCUGGAGGGAAGCAAGCAUGCAGAAUGCAACAUCUAAUGAAACAUUGUAUAUAAAAUGCUAACCUAGGUCCCACAACUAAAAUGUGAGGUGGACCUAGUGUAGAUCAGUGAUCAUAGGAGACAUGGUCUCAUUCAUAUAGCCCAGGCUGGUUCUAAUUGGUGACUCUCCUGUUACAGCUUCUCAAGUGCUGAGAUUACAGAUGUGCACACCCAUGCCCAGCCUGUAGAAUAUAUCUGAUUACUGAGUGAAUAAUAUUUUUUUAAAGAAUUAUAUAUUUCAUGUGAGUACCCUGUUGCUGUCCUCAGAUACACCAGAAGAGGGCAUCAUAUCCCAUUACAGAUGGUUGUGAGCCACCAUGUGGUUGCUGAGAAUUAAACUCAGAACCUCUGAGAGAGCAGUCAGGGCUCUUAACCACUGAGCCAUCUCUCCAGCCUUCUGAGUAAAUAUUUUAAUUUAUAAUGGCUGUUUGCAAAACCCAACCAAGGCUAAGAUUUCUUCAACAUAAACUGGAGACGUUCCUAGUUAAGGAAGCGCCAAAAGUCAUUUUCUCAUUGGCCUAGCUUGAAGCCAGGAUAAGAGGACUUAAAGUCUGUCCUUUAAUUCAUUACCCAUUCUCCUUUUCUUACUGUUGAAGUGUUUCCAAGGAGAAUCAAGAUGAAUCGAUAAUUCUAAACGUAUUUGCUCAUUGCCUGGCUCAGCAUCAUGUGAGCUAUAAGAAUAUACUAUCACACUCAUAUAUACUUUUAACUUGAGUGUAAUGAAAGUGCAGUUCUAAGUACUGAAAAGAACAAAGACAUUUAAAGGAUGCAACCGAAAGUGUACUUUACCUCAGUAGUAGUUUCUGAGGGGACUGCAGUCACACCUUAAAGAGACGACAGCUCUCACUUUAGCUGGGAAAAACAUCAAGGUGUGGAGAAGGAGAGUGAAAUAAAAGGUUGCUCCCCUUCUCAUGGGCAUGCUUGGUAGAGUGGAAAUAAUAAUAAAAGAGGUUCUCUAUUUCCUCAGUUCCACACAUUGCAGAAGAUGCUACUGGAUGCUAAGUGCAACACAUCUGUUCCAAAGGGCACUUAGUGUGACUAACAGAUGCCCCGGAAAGCAGAGUGAUGCUCUUUAUUAAACAGAAAUAUUAGCGCAAAUGUUUUCUAGACUGAAGGACACUUUCCUCAAUUUCCACAAUUGCCUCAGAGGUUAGAACCCAGGAGGAAGGUUAUUAUUCAUUCAUUUGCUUCAUUGGUUCGUCUGUUCUAUAAGGAUUUGCAUGUCUCUUCUUAGGCCUUCACUUGGCUCCUGAGACAUGGAAAAAGGAAACAAACAGACAUAGCUUCCCAGGGAAGUGCUGGAUUGGGGGUUCUGUUUUCUGGGUAGUGGCACGACUUAGUCCCCAAGUAUUAUGCAAUGUGAGCCCUCAUCCUCAUGUCUUCUCUGGCCACUGCAAUGAGUGGGAAGCUGGGCUUUGUAGCAAGCCUGACCCUAAAGUUACAGAAGCCCUUCACGCUAAGAAACUCAAUUUUCUAGCCCAUUUUAGCUAUGACUGACCACUACUGGUCAGGAAGGAUGACAGCCAUCUAAGUUCCACAGUCUUAGGCUCCUUUGCAUUAUCCUAGGGCAAACAAGCCAUUUCUGAGCUUUGAAAUACAUUGACCAAUUUUGCCUGUGUUCAAACUUUUACCUUUUUACAUGCUAAUGCACAGUAAUUUAGAAAUGUUCUCCCUACUAUAAUAUACUCAAGGUGGUUUGCUAUGGUAAAAUAAUGCCAGUGGAUGAAAAGAACAUCAAUAUUUAACAUUCUUGCAUAAAAUUUAAGAAUAAUAAAAUUGACAACAAUCAGAAAACUGUAGGAACAAAAGACCAAAUUGAAAGAACAUGAAAAAGAUCAAAAAUGCCUUCUACAAGGAGGACAGACUGCUUCGACCCUUUCCAUUUUUCUUUCACUCACAGAGGGUGGGACAGGAGGCCGAGUGAAGGAAAGGGUCCAGCCUAUGUCUAUCUGGAAUCUAAAUUGGGACUUUAAUGCAGUUCCACAAAAUUAAUUCGUUAAAUGUUUCUGAAAAUUUAUUUUCAUCUAAAUGGCUAUCAGCUAAGCCUUGAGUCAGAUGGGAAUGAAACGGAUUAAUUCAAUGUGAUCUCUUUAUCCAAGUUGCCUUAAAGCUGAAGUCACAAUUUGAUGUAACGAAGCUUAUUCAUUGGAGCUUAUGCAUACUUUCAAAGAAUCUAGACUUUACUCAGUAAGCCAAUCACGACAUUCAGGCAACACGAAAGGAGCAGAGUAGAUGGAGCCAGGUUGAAGAGGUCUGGGAGUUCAAACAAAUUUUUUUUUUCAUUUUCAUUAAAACUCAAUUGGGCAUCAAAAGUGUUACUAUUAUUAGCUUUUAAUUAGUGGAAAUUGGCUGGAUUCAGUAAUAUCCCUUUGUAUGGGUAGGAAUAGGCUUACAUUUCUGGAAUUUGCAAAGGAAAAAAUAACUGAAAGCCUUCCUUUCACAGUUACUGCCAUCAGUAUUGUUACCGGAUUAAGCACAUCCUACCAUCAUCUGCUUUGGUCACAUAAAUGAACUUGUAAACCAAUCUGUUGUUGAAAGACUGGAGUCAUCUUCCUACUACCUGUGAAAAAACACAUGGAAGACACCUGGACGUUGUGAACUGAUGCGGAAUGCAGAACUUCUGUGACUCUUGGGUGUUUUGAAGACUUU